UACGUAGGUGGCAAGCGUUGUUCGGAAUUAUUGGGCGUAAAGGGCGCGUAGGCGGUUUGCUAAGUCAGUUGUGAAAGCCCGGGGCUCAACCCCGGAGGGUCGGCUGAUACUGGUGGACUAGAGUACGGAAGAGGUAGCUGGAAUUCCCGGUGUAGCGGUGAAAUGCGUAGAUAUCAGGAGGAACACCGGUGGCGAAGGCGGGUCUCUGGGCCGUAACUGACGCUGAGGAGCGAAAGCAUGGGGAGCGAACAGG
rnacentral:rRNA from 1 species